rnacentral:rRNA from 1 species
UGGGGAAUUUUGGACAAUGGGCGCAAGCCUGAUCCAGCCAUGCCGCGUGCAGGAUGAAGGCCCUCGGGUUGUAAACUGCUUUUGUACGGAACGAAAAGCCUCUUUCUAAUAAAGAGGGGUGAUGACGGUACCGUAAGAAUAAGCACCGGCUAACUACGUGCCAGCAGCCGCGGUAAUACGUAGGGUGCGAGCGUUAAUCGGAAUUACUGGGCGUAAAGCGUGCGCAGGCGGUCUUGCAAGACAGUGGUGAAAUCCCCGGGCUCAACCUGGGAACUGCCAUUGUGACUGCAUGACUAGAGUGCGUCAGAGGGGUGUGGAAUUCCGGGUGUAGUGGUGAAAUGCAUAGAUAUUCGGAAGAACACCAGUGGCGAAGGCGGCUCUCUGGGCUGCAACUGACGCUCAGACGCGAAAGCUAGGGGAGCGAACG